rnacentral:rRNA from 1 species
GACGAACGCUGGCGGCGUGCUUAACACAUGCAAGUCGAACGGUGAAGCGCCUUCCUUUUUGGUGGGUGUGGAUGAGUGGCGAACGGGUGAGUAACACGUGAGUAACCUGCCCCCUUCUUCUGGAUAACCGCAUGAAAGUGUGGCUAAUACGGGAUAUUCUGGGUCUGUCGCAUGAUGGGUCUGGGAAAGAUAUUGUUUCGGUGGGGGAUGGGCUCGCGGCCUAUCAGCUUGUUGGUGGGGUGAUGGCCUACCAAGGCGGUGACGGGUAGCCGGCCUGUGGGGGUGGACGGUCACACUGGGACUGAGACACGGCCCAGACUCCUACGGGAGGCAGCAGGGGGGAAUAUUGCACAAUGGGCGCAAGCCUGAUGCAGCGACGCCGCGUGAGGGAUGGAGGCCGUCGGGUUGUGAACCUCUUUCGCCAGUGAAGCAGGCCUGCCUCGUUUGUGGGUGGGUUGACGGUAGCUGGAUAAGAAGCGCCGGCUAACUACGU